UCCCUGGUGGUCCAGUGGUUAAGACUCUGCGCUCCCAAUGCAGGGGGCCCGGCUUCAAUCUCUGGUCAGGGAA
rfam:TPA: Bos taurus chromosome 15, whole genome shotgun sequence.